rnacentral:rRNA from 1 species
UACGAAGGGUGCAAGCGUUGUUCGGAAUUAUUGGGCGUAAAGAGUGAUAAGGCCGAUCUUUAAGUCAGGUGUGAAAUCUCGGGGCUUAACCCCGAAAGUGCGCCUGAAACUGUAGAUCUAGAGUGAUGGAGGGGAAAGGGGAAUUUCACGUGUAGGGGUAAAAUCCGUAGAGAUGUGAAGGAACACCUGAGGCGAAGGCGCCUUUCUGGCCAUUUACUGACGCUGAUUCACGAAAGCGUGGGGAGCAAAC